ACGCUGGCGGCAGGCUUAACACAUGCAAGUCGAGCGAUUAAAGCCCCUUCGGGGGUGUAUAGAGCGGCGAACGGGUGAGUAACAGGUGGAUAAUCUGCCUCCCGGUGGGGGACAACGGCUGGAAACGGCCGCUAAUACCGCAUGCGGUUGCCGCGCUACGGCGCGGUACAGAAAGGCGCUUUUGGCGUCGCCGGGAGAUGAGUCCGCCCCCCAUUAGCUAGUAGGUGAGAUAAAAGCCCACCAAAGGCAACGAUGGGUAGCCGAGCUGAGAGGUUGAUCGGCCACACUGGGACUGAGACACGGCCCAGACACCUACGGGUGGCAGCAGUGUGGAAUCUUGGACAAUGGGCGAAAGCCUGAUCCAUCCAUGCCGCGUGGAGGAUGAAGGCCUUCGGGUCGUAGACUCCUUUUCUGAGGGAAGAACCCCGCGCGCAGGAAAUGGCGUGCGGCUGACGGUACCUCAGGAAUAAGCAACGGCUAACUCCGUGCCAGCAGCCGCGGUAAUACGGAGGUUGCGAGCGUUGUUCGGAAUUACUGGGCGUAAAGGGGGCGCAUGCGGUCUGGUCAGUCUGAAGUGAAAUCCCGAGGCUCAACUUCGGACCUGCUUCGGAUACUGCCAGGCUUGAGUACGCGAGAGGAGAGUGGAAUUCCAGGUGUAGCGGUGAAAUGCGUAGAUAUCUGGAGGAGCACCGGUGGCGAAAGCGGCUCUCUGGCGCGUUACUGACGCUGAGGCCCGAAAGCGUGGGGAGCGAACGGGAUUAGAUACCCCGGUAGUCCACGCCGUAAACUUUGUGCACUAGGUGUGGGAGGUAUCGACCCCUUCCGUGCCGCAGCUAACGCACUAAGUGCACCGCCUGGGGAGUACGGUCGCAAGACUGAAACUCAAAGGAAUUGACGGGGGCCCGCACAAGCGGUGGAGCAUGUGGUUUAAUUCGAGGCAACGCGAAGAACCUUACCCAGACUUGACAUCCCAGGACCGCCGUGGAAACACGGUUUUCCCUUCGGGGACCUGGUGACAGGUACUGCAUGGCUGUCGUCAGCUCGUCUCGUGAGAUGUUGGGUUAAGUCCCGCAACGAGCGCAACCCCUGUUCUCAGUUACCAGCGGUUCGGCCGGGCACUCUGAGGAGACUGCCGGUGAUAAACCGGAGGAAGGUGGGGACGACGUCAAGUCAGCAUGGCCCGUACGUCCGGGGCUACACACGUGCUACAAUGGCCGGUACAAAGGGCCGCGACUCCGCAAGGAAGAGCCAAUCCCAAAAAGCCGGUCUCAGUUCAGAUUGGAGUCUGCAACUUGACUCCAUGAAGCUGGAAUCGCUAGUAAUCGCGUAUCAGCAAUGACGCGGUGAUACGUUCCCGGGCUUUGUACACCACCGCCCGUCACAUGACCCGAGUCUGAUGCACCGGAAGUCACUGGCCCAACCCUUCGGGGAGGGAGGUGCCCAUGGUGUGUCUGGUAAGGGGGAUGAAGUCGUAA
rnacentral:rRNA from 1 species